rnacentral:rRNA from 1 species
AUUGAACGCUGGCGGCAGGCCUAACACAUGCAAGUCGAGCGGAUGAAGGGGGCUUGCUCCUGGAUUCAGCGGCGGACGGGUGAGUAAUGCCUAGGAAUCUGCCUGGUAGUGGGGGAUAACGUCCGGAAACGGGCGCUAAUACCGCAUACGUCCUGAGGGAGAAAGUGGGGGAUCUUCGGACCUCACGCUAUCAGAUGAGCCUAGGUCGGAUUAGCUAGUUGGUGGGGUAAAGGCCUACCAAGGCGACGAUCCGUAACUGGUCUGAGAGGAUGAUCAGUCACACUGGAACUGAGACACGGUCCAGACUCCUACGGGAGGCAGCAGUGGGAAAUAUUGGACAAUGGGCGAAAGCCUGAUCCAGCCAUGCCGCGUGUGUGAAGAAGGUCUUCGGAUUGUAAAGCACUUUAAGUUGGGAGGAAGGGCAGUAAGUUAAUACCUUGCUGUUUUGACGUUACCAACAGAAUAAGCACCGGCUAACUUCGUG